UACGGAGGGUGCAAGCGUUGUUCGGAAUUAUUGGGCGUAAAGCGCGCGCAGGCGGCCUGGAAAGUCUAUGGGUGAAAUGCCGGGGCUCAACCCCGUGCAUGCCCAGGAUACUGCCAGGCUGGAGACACGUAGAGGCAAGCGGAAUUCCGGGUGUAGCGGUGGAAUGCGUAGAGAUCCGGAAGAACACCGGAGGCGAAGGCGGCCUGCUGGGCGUGAUCUGACGCUGAGGCGCGAAAGCGUGGGGAGCGAACAGG
rnacentral:rRNA from 1 species